GACGAACGCUGGCGGCGUGCUUAACACAUGCAAGUCGAGCGGUAAGGCCCUUUCGGGGGUACACGAGCGGCGAACGGGUGAGUAACACGUGGGUGACCUGCCCUCAGCUCUGGGAUAAGCCUGGGAAACCGGGUCUAAUACUGGAUAUGACUCCAUGACGCAUGUUGUGGGGUGGAAAGCCUUGUGCGGCUGAGGAUGGGCCCGCGGCCUAUCAGCUUGUUGGUGGGGUGAUGGCCUACCAAGGCGACGACGGUAGCCGGCCUGAGAGGCGACCGGCCACACUGGGACUGAGACACGGCCCAGACUCCUACGGGAGGCAGCAGUGGGGAAUCUUGCGCAAUGGGCGAAAGCCUGACGCAGCGACGCCGCGUGAGGGAUGACGGCCU
rnacentral:rRNA from 1 species